rnacentral:rRNA from 1 species
UACGUAGGGUGCGAGCGUUGUCCGGAAUUAUUGGGCGUAAAGGGCGCGUAGGCGGCUUGGCAAGUGGAUGGUGAAAUCCCUCGGCUUAACCGAGGAACUGCCGUCCAAACUGCUUAGCUUGAGACCGGGAGAGGUGAGUGGAAUUCCCAGUGUAGCGGUGAAAUGCGUAGAUAUUGGGAGGAACACCAGUGGCGAAGGCGGCUCACUGGACCGGUACUGACGCUGAGGCGCGAAAGCGUGGGGAGCAAACGGG